rnacentral:rRNA from 1 species
UGCGUAGGCGGAUUAAUAAGUCAGUGGUGAAAUCUUUCGGCUCAACCGAGAAACUGCCAUUGAUACUGUUAAUCUUGAGUUCGGUUGAGGUAGGCGGAAUGUGUAAUGUAGCGGUGAAAUGCUUAGAUAUUACACAGAACACCAAUUGCGUAGGCAGCUUACUAGACCGACACUGACGCUGAGGCACGAAAGCGUGGGGAGCGAACAGGAUUAGAUACACUGGUAGUCC